GGUAAGGGUGAAAAGGCGGGGUAAGAGCCCACCGCUGCAGGGGUGACCUUGCAGGCAUGGUAAACCCUGUCCGGAGCAAGGCCAUGUAGGUUCCGCCUUGAGGGUGGCCCGCCCGAUUGAGCGGAACGGGUAGGCUGCAUGAGUCCGGGAGCAAUCCCUGACCUCAGAUGAAUGACCAUUACAUACAGAACCCGGCUUAUUGCCUGCCCUGCAUU
rnacentral:RNase_P_RNA from 1 species